GACGAACGCUGGCGGCGUGCUUAACACAUGCAAGUCGAGCGGUAAGGCCCUUUCGGGGGUACACGAGCGGCGAACGGGUGAGUAACACGUGGGUGACCUGCCCUUAGCUCUGGGAUAAGCCUGGGAAACUGGGUCUAAUACCGGAUAUGACUCCAUGACGCAUGUUGUGGGGUGGAAAGCCUUGUGCGGCUAGGGAUGGGCCCGCGGCCUAUCAGCUUGUUGGUGGGGUGAUGGCCUACCAAGGCGACGACGGGUAGCCGGCCUGAGAGGGCGACCGGCCACACUGGGACUGAGACACGGCCCAGACUCCUACGGGAGGCAGCAGUGGGGAAUCUUGCGCAAUGGGCGAAAGCCUGACGCAGCGACGCCGCGUGAGGGAUGACGGCCUCGGUUGGUAAC
rnacentral:rRNA from 1 species